rnacentral:rRNA from 1 species
UGGAACGAAAGUCUGAUGGAGCAACGCCGCGUGAGUGAAGAAGGGUUUCGCUCGUAAAGCUCUGUUGGUAGUGAAAGAAAGAUAGAGGUAGUAACUGGCCUUUAUUUGACGGUAAUUACUUAGAAAGUCACGGCUAACUACGUGCC